UCCCAUGGGAACGUAGAGGUUUUUCAAGGUGCUGUGAAAGCAAAAGACUGUGAGACCGAGGAGCAGAAGCUGCACGACUUUGUCUCUCUUUUUUUCGCAUGUGUGGCAAUCACCUCCCCUUUUUUCUGUCUCCCUUCACCUCACAUAAACGAGUUUUUUUUUUUUUCCCUCCCCCUGAAGGAAUGCACCAAGUAUUUGGCAAGGGAAGUUAUGCCAGGAACAAUUACUGCAAGCUGCAAAUGCCGAAGGCUUAGCUUUCCUUUUCUGCAUGGUCUGUAAUUAGUGGCUGGGUGGCACAGUAGGCUAAAACCCUUAUCUUGGGAAGCUUGUCUUCGAAUCAGACUCUGUCAAGGAGGCGAUGGGGGGCAGGGGGCUGUUUCGGCGCUGUCAGCUCCCAGCCCCCCCCGCCCCCCACAAGACCUGAAACCACGGACAAUGUGGCACCACCGGCAGUCUAUUCUGUGCAGGAAAAAUGACUGGAGGGAAUCCACGGUGGGCAUUCAAUAAUGCACUGAGGCCGGACAGGAGGGCGUUUCCACACCAGGCAUCCUUCACUCCAGCCCUUUUAUUUAGUGAAAGGAGCAGGAUUAUAACAAAUGGGCCCUUUGAAGAUCAAGUACAUUUUCAGCGCGCUCUGUCAUAUUCCCGCUAAUGGGAGAUGCGUCAUGCACAAUAGCAAUGCCGCGUUUCCACAUUGCAAAACCCAUUUCUCUACCCAAAGGGAGCCACUGUUGGGAAUUCCGAUGUCAUGUUUCAGAAGCAGAAUGCAGAGGGAACAUCUUGGAAUUGCAGCGGGGAGUACAAAACAGUGAACCGCUGCAACACACCAAACGGAAAUAUCAGCGUGCUCCAAGGACAUUGCGGUGGCGUGGAAACACGGGUACAGAGGGACAAGGAACGGCUAAGAGCAUCGUCACUCUGCAGACACAGACUCUUAAAAUGCUCAAAGUCUUGAUGAAAAAGGUCUCAGUCCAACCCCCCUAAGGUUUACGGUGCCUUCUUUUCAUGCCGAGAGCCGAACGAACUCACAAUAAAUAACAAGUGACUCAUGAUGAGUAGAAAUGUACAUAAGAACCUAUCCUAGCUGCACCUCUCGGCAUCUCCGCUACAUUUUCCACAGCCUAUUUUCUAUUUCAUGCUCGGUGGGUGGUUUUAUUUAAUUUUUAUUUGUUCCCCCUCCCUGAUUGAGUCUUUCAAUAUAGCAAGCAGAAACAAGCCACGUAACGUUCUGUUACGUUAAAACAGAAGUGACAUGGUAACCUUUACCGGUUUCACGGAGCAGGAGAACCAAACCUCUGGACUAAAUACAAUAGUCACUUAUGAUUACUGUCGCCAUUGGGUCUUCCACAUCUCUCCAGCCUGGCUCUUCAACAUAGAAAAAAAACACUGGGGGCGGGACAUUGCUCAUAACCAGCAAUAUUCCUGUUCGUCUGCCUGGGUUAUCGUCGACCAUUUCAUCACCACUUAAUCGGCAAACGGAAAAAAAAGAAUGAAAAAAAAAAACGUGUGGAUUUUUCUCAUUACUAUUAUUUCAUAGAACAUGAGAAAUGAAAACUGGGGGGGGGGGGGGAUCAACGUAAUCGAUAGCUAACAGCAAUUAUGCAGAAGACAAAUCGUGUUUUAGUUUUCCAAAUGGAUCUUUAAAGGUCUAUUAGCGGACAGACGGGCAUUGAGUGGGGUGGGUUUGGCGUCUGAAUGAUGUCACCACUAUUAAGAUGCAUGGAUCUGGGAACGGUGCCAGGAUCUGGCCAAGCUGUCACACACACACACACACACAGGCACACAAACACACAUGCAUACACACACAAAAAAGUAAGAGGGCUGCAGUAGUAGCAAAGCAACAGGAAGAUUGAAGAUGACUCUAUUUAAUCAGACCCCAUGCUAUGCCUGGCCUGGCACUAGAGGCUAGAGGAAGAGUUUAAUUCUGUUCCGAUUUAUCGGUCCGCUUGAAAGGUAAUGCCCAAAAAUGUUAAAACAAAGGCUAGACGGAAGCCAAGGGCUGUGGGAUGGAAAAAUGUAGCAUGUCAUAAGUCCUUCUCGGGUUGACGGUCCAUCGCGUACGCAUAUUUCUGCGAGUUCAGACGUUCCGCCCCUGCCCCCUACAAAGGCACCUUUGAACUGGCUGGCAUUUCAUUUGCAGGAUAUGAAACAGGUCCUAAGGAGAGAGUCAGCAGGGUCUGAUCCCUGCUGCUGCUGACUGCGCAUGUGAAACAAGGGAGGAAAAAGGGAAAGAAAAGGCAGCUUCUGUUUCAAACACCGGCAAAAAUUCCGCGUCUUGCUGUCCGUCUCGGCCUCCAAAACACUGGGCUCUUUUGUUCACCUUUCGGUGCCUGGGGACACAGGGGCCAAGGCGUACUGAACAAGCAGCAACGCAUCAGAGACCCUGGGGCCUGGGC